rnacentral:lncRNA from 7 species
CUUCAAUUUGACUUAAAUGCAUGCCACAGCCACUCGUCCACGUCUUACACUCCAGCUCAUAAUUCAGUGACCCUACUUGAUAGCUAAUAAGCAUUUCUCCGUCAUGUUUUAUUUCUAUCCUUGGUUAGAGACUCUCAUAUUUCUUUUUUAACGCAAUGGCAGGAUCUUUGCCUUUCAAUUAAAGGAGAGAUAGAAUUAACCCAGAUUAUGAAGGAAACCAAGCCUAAAAACCUCACAAUGGCACAGUUUAUUAAAGGGAAACCCACCAAAAAUACCUAAACAUAACAGCCCAG